GGAUGCGGGCAGCACCGAGACGGAAGCGCGGCAGGACGGGAGCGGUGCUGAGGACAGCGGCGCCGGAGGGGUGCGGGAGAACGGCUCCAUGCCGGGGAGAGGAACCGAGCGCGGCCCGAAUCCCCCCGCCGUCCCCUCCGCUCCCCUCUGCUCCGCUCGGCCGUGGGAUGCGGGGAUUUGGGACGGCUGAAGGACUCGGGGCCCCCACCGCCGCAGCGCUGCUGCCCGCAUCCGGGCCGGGCCCCCCCGAGCCUCCAGCGCUGCUCCCGGUGCCCCCCGGGGCUGAGGCAGGAGCCGGGCAGCGGUACUGCAGCUCGUCUGGCAGCUUUGCAGCUGAGUUGGGAAGUAGAAGAUGUGGCUGUGAAAGAAGAAGUCAGUUGCUGGGACGUCCCCCUGUUCUUCCCCUAGCUGUCCCCUUGCCUCAGCCUGGAUUCCCCUUGCAUUCCAGUAGGAUUCCCUUCCAUCCUCCUGGUUGUCCCUUGCUUUCCCCAAGGUUGCUCUUUCCUUUCCCAUGACAGCCCACCCAUCAUUCCCUCAAAGCCCCAAUAUCCACCCCAGUGUUUCCCCAGUAAGACCCCUAGAGACGCCCUGUAGCCCCCCACAGAGCCCCAUACACCCUCUAGGACCUCCUCAGACCCGGUACGCCUCUCCCGUAGAUGGCCCAUACGCACACGGAGCCCCACAGUCCCCAGCAUCACCCCAUGUCCCCCUCUGGGCUACCACAGAACCCCCGUAUUUCCUCUAUUUCCUCCCUCAGACCUCCUUUCCCACCUCCAAGACCCCAACCCCGGGAUCUCAUCGAUUCCCACGGUCCCUGACAGCAGCACCCCUGUCACCAUCCCAGGAACCCCAUAGCCCACCUGAGGGCCCUCCUCAACCCCAUCCCCAUCAAGCUCUUGUACAGCCAUAGGGUGCUGGGGCAGGGGUGGCUGCUGCAGGAGAGGAAUGCGGGGCUGGAGCAGGUGCAGGGCACAGCUGUGGGUGAAAGGGAUGUGAGGGGCACUGUGGGUCCAGGAACGUAGGGGUUGUGGGGGCACGUGGGGAGCGGUUUGGGGUGAGAAUGGAGGAUGUGCGGUGGUGUUGGAGUGCACUGGUUGAUUUCUUCCUGGGAGGGGAUUGGGGUUCCCUUUGGCCCAAAGGUGGAGCCCUGAUCCAUAACCCCACGUGAGCCCAGAACCCCAUAUAACUCUGCAUGAGCCCAAGGCUCCACAUGACCCAUAACCGUGUGAGCACCGUAAGCCCAUAUGAGGCUGAGGGCAGUGGUGGGUCUGUUACUGGCUAGGUCAGGAAGUACUCUAGGGUGGCUCUGGGGCCGCUGUAGAAUAGCGCUCUGUAUCUGCCCCUGACCCUCAUCUUGGGGGGUAAGAUGGGGGUGCAGGGGUUAGUGGAGGGCUAAGGAAGAGAUUCCAUGAGUAUGAACCAUAGCAGCCCCAGAGCCAUCCUAGAGCAGCGCCAUCACUGCCCACGGCCCAUGGCCAGCAGCAGUUCCACCACAAGCUGUGUGUUGGGUCAAGGCAGCUCCUAGGUUUUGCUCUGCCCCAUAGCUGCCCCAAAGUGCCCCUGUAGCCCUCCCAUAGGUGUCCUUUAACUGCCCCACCACCCCGUAAGGCUUCCCCACGUCCUAGCACAUCCCCCCACGUGCGUGCAGGGUGUGCAAGAAACGCUCUCAUCCCUGAUAUUCCAUCAGGCACAGCUCUUCGUGCAGCAGCAAAGCUCCUUCCUGAUUGCUGUGGCGUUACUUCACUCUCCUCAGUGAGUUCCUUCUGCUCCCGUUGGGUUGGUUGAGUUGGGUUUGUUGGGUUGAGGUGGGGGCAGGGAUCCCAGAGUUCUGGGGCCACAUGGCAUCGGGUCGCAGCGUGUUGGGGGCCGGAAGGGUCAGGGAGUUACAGGGUCUUGUGGGGGUGUGGUUCACCCAGGGCUGUGGGUCACAUAUAGCCAUGGUGUCAUGCACAUACAGGGUGAUGAGAUCAUCUUGGCUUAUGGCUCAUGUGGGGUUACGGCUCAGGGCCCCACCUUUGGGCUGCAUGGACCCCCAGUCCCCUCUCAGGAAGAAAUGAAACCCCUCCUACACCGCUGCCCCCUUCCCCCCCUUUUUUUUUUUUACCUCAAACUGCUCCCCACAUCCUCCCAUAGCACCCCAUACUCCUGCGUCCCUCUUGCAGCCCACAUCUUGUCUUCUCCUGAACAGCAUUCUGCUCCUGCAGGCUGUGUUGUCAUAUCCAUUCUAUAUCCCCCACAACCUCCCCCACAGACCCACAUAGCUCCUCAAGUACUUUCUCUGACCUGGUACACCUCCCCCUCCUCCAACCUGGGAGCUCGCAGAGCCCCACAGUCCCCAGCAUCACCCCACGUCCCCCACGGUUCUUCAAGGAUCCCUCCGAUUUGAGGGAGGCUCAGACCUCCCUUUAUGCCUCAGACCCCUCCUGUGUUCUCCGACUCCCACAGUCCCUGACAGGACCCCCAUCACCAUCCCAGGACCCCCAUAGCCCACUGAUGAGGAACCUCGCAGCAAUCCACAUCUCAGGAUGGGCCUCCAGCUGUGCCCCAAUGCCUGCAUUAAAGACAGGAGAAUGAAUGAGCGUAACGGGGCACCUUUCCUCCUGACAUUGCCCACUGCCUGCGUGUUGGCUGCGCCACGAGUGCCGCAUUUUGUCCUCGAGCUGUGAGUGCAGGUAUGUGUGCAUACGGGGGGGUGUGCAAAGAUGGUGCUGAGCAUCAGAGUGUGCACUGCACGUGGGCGUGUGCAUGGCGUCUGCGGGUGAAAGUUUUGCACGUGUGUGCGUGCAGAUGGCUGUGUGCAAGGCUGGAGCUGCGCUCGUGUCUUUGUGCACGUGGGUGUGCAGAAGGAUGGUGUGCACGCAUGUGUGUGUAUGCAUGAACACGAAUGCGUGCAUCAAGGUCUUUGCACAAGGCUUUUGGGUUUUGCACACACUUGCGUGCACACGAAUGGAGUGCGCACACAGGGCUGUGCAAGGAUGCGCUUGCAUGUGUGUGAAUGCACAGGCGUGUGUGCGGGGAAGUCUUUGCACGUGGGUGUAUGGUUCUGCACACUUCUGUGCACACAGAUGCGCGUGCAAGGGAGCAGCGGAGGCUCCUGGGAACAGGAGAUUUCUGGGGGCGGCGCAACUCCUGCCUGAGUGCUGGAGAGCACAGGGCCGGGAAGCACAGCUCCGCAGCACUGCGCUCUGCACAACAGCCUGCAGGACGGCACGGAGCGCUGACAGAACCAGGACACAGCGCCAUAGCAGGCACUGCAAAGGAAACAGCUCCAUCCCAGCCGGAGCAGUGACAGGCAGGCAGGCACUGGGGAGGGCUGCACGGCAGAGGGACGCCCUCUGAGUGCCACACCAGGAGAACCUGGAGCGCUGUCUGUAAGCAGAACAGUGCCGGGAUGGCGGCCUGGCGGUCCUAAGCUGCAGAGAUGCUGCUCUGGACCAACAGCCUGUCACUUUUUGAGAAAACGCCGUCCUUUUGAUGAACUUUGCUCAUUAUACACUCGUCAUCAAAGCCAAAAACACUCAGUGCUGCCCUGGGAAACUCAGCUGUCUGCACAGCGUUGCUCUCCAAGUUAGCACGCUCGUGGCCAGGCUUUGUUCCUCGCAGCUCUCUGCACGUGCUUUGCAGACAGUCUGUUUGUGGGCAGUGCAAAGGACUGCUGCCUCCGCUGCAUCACUGGAUGGCAGCAUUCGCUGACGGAGCUGUGGGAGUUCUGAGCGAGCGCUGCGAGACCAAUAACGAGGAGGUGGUGCAGCAGCUCUCCGAGUGCCGCUGGACAAAUGAGGCCGUGCGCUCUGUGUGAAUCUCUCAUUGUGACUGGUUUUUAUUGACUCCAUCUGAAGUUGGAGUGCCGAGUUGGGCGGCACUCGCAGCGCUGCCCUGUAACGCCGCGCACUGCAGCCGCUGCCUGCUGACGCUCCUCCUCUCAGUCCUUCAGCUGCAGCUUCUGCAUCAUCUCCACAAGGCUGUUCACUGCGGAGGCCUGGAAAGAAACGGAGCGAGGGUAGAAACAGGACUGCUCUUCCCUCGGGAUUUUACAGUCUCUUUCUUUCAUGUCUGACAGACGGAGGCCCUGAGAACAACCAGAGCCGUGUCUGCCUUCACCAAGGACUCACCUCUGCACGUGCAGCGGCAGCUCUGAGGGCAGCCUUCAUCGAUUCCCCUCUCCUCUCUUUCUCUUGGCGUCUUCUCGCUAGAAAGCAAGAAUAAACGUGAAUACGUUUUGUCAGCAGCGCAACUGCAGAAACAGGGGUGCCAUACAGGCAGAAGGCAGCAAAAAGACAGAGGAAACGGGACUAGGAAGCCUCCCAGUGAAUGACAUUUCCAGGGGGAUGUGCAGAAGACCACCAUGGAGUUAAUGGAAGGAGACGGGGUUACGUGUUCUGGCACCUCACUGCCUUUGGACUUUGUAGCCUUCCACUCUUGUCCCCUCCACAGAGAAGGAAAAAGCAAAGCGAACCCUGAGCAAACUCAGUGUGCUUGAAAAGGGCAGCAGCUCACCAGGGUGGGUCCCACAGCACCUUCUCACCUCUUAGCUUGGAGCUCCGCGCUGCAGCAGGCCCAGGGUGUGCUGCUGGAGCUGGCACGCUGUCUCCGCUCGGCCCCCUCACUCUUUUGUUAGCAGGCAGCUGCGCUGCUGUUGGCUUCGCUUCUUCCAAGCCCUUGCGUUUACAUCCAGCCAAGGACUUGGAGACAGAGCGGGGGCACACGGCAGGGGAAGGUCUUCCCCCUGUGCUGGGACCUGCUGUUGUAGGAAGCCCUCCAGCCUGGAGAUGAGCUCUCUCCAGAAGGACUUCCUGCACCGCUUUUGCGUAGAUCUUUCCGUUGGGCUCGGCACCUCUCUCUGUGAUAAUCGGGAAAGGAGAAGCAACAAGAUUGAAAGAGAGUCCUUGCAGUCCUUGCACUCUGCAGAAUGGGCCAUCGUGCUAGGAUGUCUCGAGUGCUCACGGCACCAGCAGGCAGCAGCAGAAAUAUCAUGCAGUAAGCCCACGUCCCCCCAGGAAACAGAAAGAUGCUUCUUUGACAGCCCAAACACAAACGGAUUGAUAGUUCACUUUGCACUGCUCCUUCCUGCACUCCAAAUGGAUGCUUACUUGACAUCCCCUACAGCACUGCACCCGCUCAGAAGGAAUACUCAAAAUUCAUUCCUCCACACUUUGCGACACAGGGCUGAAGAAACUCACUUCUGUAUGGCAGGAAGGACCGUCCGUCCCUGUUGCGUCCCUCUGUGCGCUGCAAGGCGCGGUUGGAUCUCUGGCAGCCUGCUGGCUGCUGCUCCCAACCGCGGGGAACCGCACCGCGCCACUUCUGAAGAGAGAAAGGGAGAAACGGUGGUGGGAACGGGCAGCCAAGGUUUGCAGAGAGGUUCCAGAUCGUGCCACACAUGGGAUAUCAGAGUGCUGAGACACUGAUUAUCACUAUGGGAAAAGACAGCCUGAGCCACGUCCACAUUGUUAGCCCAGGCUGUCAGCAGUGAGCGCUGAAUCCAACCGGUUCCUGAGGUCACCAAGGACCAGCAGGGCUCCCCCUGCUCCAUCCCUUCCCCUUGAAAACAAGGAAACGGAAGCACCAAGCAGAAGAAGCCCAGCCAUACCUUGCCACUCACACGGCAGCAAUUGGAACCGCGGUCGUCUCCUUGCUGAGACAUGGCUGCUGAAGGCUCAGAGGAAGCUGAAGUUCCAGAGGCUCUCUCUGCAGGAACUUCCCCGGCCCUUGGAAAGAGCUGGCUUCCCUCUUCCUAAGACCGCCUCGAUCCCGGAAUCUCCUUUGGGACAGGAAUCCUGCAGAAAGUACCGACGAGUGCACACGCGGUGCUUCCGUCGGGCUCUCACAGGGUGAUCUGUUCCACAGAAGGCCCAGAGCUCAGUCUCUGCGUGCAGCACGCUCACCAGAGCACCAGCUCUGCUCACCAGCUGUGGCACAAACGCUCCCACCCCAGCAGUGGUUGUGACCUCAGCGAGUGCCCGCAUCGCCCUGGUGCUUUCAUCAUAAGCGAAGGAAAUGGACGCCUCCCAGCUCCACAUCUUAGGGUCACCCAAUGGGGUUAUCUGAAGAACAGGAAUGGAGAAGUGAAGACGACUCUUGUGCAGCCCAAUAAAAAACAGAAAAGACCAA